GUCGUUGCCUCCUCUUUCCCCCAUGGCUUCAUCCCGCUUUAUCUCUUAUGUCGCUCUCGACCACCACAAAAACCUCAAACCAACAAAUCCAUUUCCAUAAGUACUCUCACAAUCAGCUAUUCUCUCUCACUCGCCGCUACAAAUCCCCACCGCCGCCACACUACAAACCAGUCUUGGUCGUCCAUCGGAAAACCCAAGAAGAAAUGUUGAUCGUCGGCCGACACCCAGACUGCAACAUCGUCUUGGCUUUGCAAAUUCCACCUCCAAAUCCAUUCUGACCCUUUUUCCCAAAAGCUCUCUCACCGAUUUGUGAUCACAAACUAGCUGUGAACCGUUGCAGGAAAAAUUCAGAAAAGAAAACACCUCUACAUACUGAAGAGUAUGUCUAACUUUAGCAUACUUGAAGCCGAAUCAAAGCCACCAACAGCUCUAGUCACGCAGUUCGCCGUCGUCCAGUAUUCCUCCAAAAUUCCACUAUCUCUCUUUGCUCUCUCCGACUCAAUGUGUCUCUAUUCUUCCAGGUUGCUGAGAAGAGCAAAAAUAUGCAGUUAACAGAUUUUGUUGAAACCGAGUUUUUAUUGGAUGAGCGGGUGGAAACCAUCAAGAAAAUAUCUGAAUUUGUUGCUCAACUAAGGACACUUCGCAAAGGACACGGUGUCUUGGCAAGGUGUGGCACCAUGGGCUUUGUUCACUAGACUAUGGUUAAUAUUCCCCAUCAAGCUAAGCUGCGGAGAUUGAGCAGUUAGCUUGGAACUAAGCAGCUUGAAACGAGCUUUUGGCAAGCUGCUGAUUGUGAGAGGUCACAUAUGAUAUGACAACUAACUUGUUGAUGACCAGUUCACGAAUGUAAUGAUAGUCAAUCUCGAUAUGCUUCGUUCUUGCAUGAAAAAUAGGAUUGGUAACAAGAGCAAGAGCACUUAGAUUGUCACAUAAGAGCAGCAGUGGAUUAUGUAGAUAGAAGCGAAGGCCAUGGUGGAGGUAGCAAAUCCAUGAUACUUCAACGGCUAUUUGGGCUAGGGAACGGUAUUCACUUUCAGUCGAAGACCGAGCAAUAGUUGGUUGCUUCUUUGCACUCCAUGAAAUAAGGUUGUUUCCAAAAAAUAUGCAGAACCACUAUGUAGAACGAUGAUCAAUGGGACAACCAGCCCAGUCGGCGUCCCAAAAAGCAGUGAUGUUUAUAAAGUCUUUGAUGAGAAGAAGUCCAUGAUCUGGCGUCCCUUUAUGAUAUCAGAGAAUCCGCUUGACGGCUGUGAAAUGAGUUGUUCUGGGAUUUGAAGAUGUUGACAAAAUUGACUAACGGAAAAUACGAUGUUAGGUCUUGUCCAUGUAAGGUAUUGCAAAGCACCAACCAAUGAUCUGUACAUGGUAGGAUUUUGAAGCAAUUCACCAUCGUAAGGAGCAGGUUUAGAAGCAGAUGAAGGUGGUGCACAUGGUUUAGAAUCCACGAUGUUGGCUUUUGUUAGGAGGUCAUGCGCAUGCUUGGUUUGACACAAGAAGAGCGUGUCUGCUGUUAGAUGAGCUUGAAUACCAAGAAAAAAGUGCAAUGGACCAAGAUUCUUCAUAGCAAACUGAGUACUGAGCUUGUUGAUCAGAAAUUCACAAUGAGAAGAAGAGUUACCUGUAAUCAGAAUAUCAUCAACAUAAACAAGUAUAAAGGUGAGUGAGUGAACAUCCUUGACAAAGAGUGAAGGAUCUACAGUAGAGGAACGGAAACCGAGAGCUAUAAGACUGCGACAGAGCUCCUCAUACCAAGCUCGCAGAGCUUGUUUGAGACCAUAUAGACUUGUGAAGCUUGCACACAAAAUGAGGUCUGAGAGGAUCUACAAAUCCUUGAGGUUGCACCAUGUGCACAUCUUCAUGAAGUGUGCCAUGAAGGAAGGCAUUGGAGAUAUCCCAUUGAGUAAUCUGCCAAUUGAACUGGACAACCAAAGAUAAAAUGAGUUUGAUAGUUGUUGGUUUAGCGACCGGACUGAAUGUUUCAUGGUAGUCAAUACCAUGUUGUUGAAGAAACCCUUUAGCAACGUGUUGUGCUUUGUAUCGAUCCAAACUACCAUCUGCCUUGUAUUUAACUCGAUAUACCCAUUUAGAUCCAAUAAUGUUGUGAGAA